CCCUGUCCGCUCCCCUGCAUGUGGUGGCGGCGCUGGGGCCGCCCGGGGGGGGCUCCGUGUUCCUCAUGGAGCAGCUGGCGGGAUCGGGCUGCAGCUUCCCCGGCAGCCCUGGGCUGUGGAUGUUGAGAUGCCCUCACCCGGACUGGCCCGACCGCGAGCUGCUUCUGCUGCACGCCGGAGGAUUCCUUGGGGGCGAGGAACCGGAGGUAACGAGCGGGGUCCGGGGUGGGGCGGUCCCGAUCCCCCGCCCCACUGAGCGACCCCCAAUACCCCCCCCCCACACCCAAUUCGCGUGCUGGGUGAUGGCAGUGGUGAUGGCAAUGGUGAUGCACAGGAACAGCUCGAGCUCCUCACCUACGCCCAGAAGUUGCCACACCAUCUGCGCCUGCUGGAGGAGGAGGAGGAUGAAGAAGAUGAAGACCAUCUGCUGCGCUUCGUGCUGCCGCCAUUCGUCUGGAGCCUGUGCAGCACAGCCCAGGCCCCUGAGGAUGAAGAGUUGUUGGAGGAUGAGGACCACAACCUGGAGCCAGCACUGGCCGGCCCCCCAGGUGCACUGUGUCCCCAGUUGCCAUGUCCCCAGCCCCCAUGUCUCUGCACCCCUCGAUCCUCACAGCCACCUCUUCCACUCCUGCCUCUAUGUCACCAACUGUCUCUCUGUCCCUACAGGCCCCGUGGCGCGCUGUAUCCUGACGCUGUUCCCUGUGCAGAAGCUGUUCCGUGUGGAUGACAGCAGUGUUGAGGGCCUAACCCAGCUCUGCACCCACCUGCUGGGCUGUGAUCCCAAAACAGAGCCUGGAGGGGCAGUGGUGGGCGGUGCCUGUGAGUAG
rnacentral:lncRNA from 1 species